rnacentral:rRNA from 1 species
AUUGAACGCUGGCGGCAGGCCUAACACAUGCAAGUCGAACGAGUGGCGGACGGGUGAGUAAUGUCUGGGAAACUGCCCGAUGGAGGAGGAUAACUACUGGAAACGGUAGCUAAUACCGCAUACCAUCGAAUGUGCCAAGAUGGGAUUAGCUUGUUGGUGAGGUAACGGCUCACCUAGGGGACGAUCCCUAGCUUGUCUGAGAGGAUGACCAGCCACACUGGAACUGAGACACGGUCCAGACUCCUACGGGAGGCAGCAGUGGUGAAUAUUGUACAAUGGGCGAAAGCCUGAUGCAGCCAGGCCGCGUGUAUGAAGAAGGCCUUCGGGUUGUAAAGUACUUUAAGCGGGGCGUCGUUACCAGCAGAAGAAGCACCGGCUAACUCCGUGCCAGCAGCCGCGGUAAUAC